rnacentral:rRNA from 1 species
GUAGGGAAUAUUGGACAAUGGGGGAAACCCUGAUCCAGCGAUGCCGCGUGGAUGAUGAAGGCCUUCGGGUCGUAAAGUCCUUUUCUGAGGGAAGAAUGGUUUGGCGAGGAAAUGCGCCGGAUUUGACGGUACCUCAGGAAUAAGCAACGGCUAACUCCGUGCCAGCAGCCGCGGUAAUACGGAGGUUGCAAGCGUUGUUCGGAAUAACUGGGCGUAAAGGGAGCGCAGGCGGCUUGAUAAGUCUAAAGUGAAAACCCAGGGCUCAACUCUGGACCUGCUUUGGAUACUGCCAAGCUUGAGUACGUGAGAGGAGAUUGGAAUUCCAGGUGUAGCGGUGAAAUGCGUAGAUAUCUGGAGGAACACCGGUGGCGAAAGCGGAUCUCUGGCACGUUACUGACGCUGAGGCUCGAAAGCGUGGGGAGCAAACGGGAUUAGAAACCCCAGUAGUCC